rnacentral:rRNA from 1 species
GGGGGAAUUUUGCGCAAUGCUCGAAAGAGUGACGCAGCGACGCCGCGUGAAUGACGAAGGCCUUCGGGUCGUAAAGUUCUUUCGACAGGGAAGAAUGUGUAUAGUAGUAAAUGACUAUACAGUGACGGUACCUGUAUAAGCAGCACCGGCUAACUCCGUGCCAGCAGCCGCGGUAAUACGGAGGGGGCGAGCGUUGUUCGGAGUGACUGGGCGUAAAGAGCACGUAGGCGGUGUUGUAAGUCAUUAGUCAAAGACUAGAGCUCAACUUUAGUAAGGCUAGUGAUACUAUAGUACUAGAGUAUCAGAGAGGAUUGCAGAAUUCCUGGUGUAGCGGUGAAAUGCGUAGAUAUCAGAAGGAAUACCAUUAGCGAAGGCGGCGAUCUGGCUGGAAACUUACGCUGAGGUGCGAAAGCGUGGGUAGCAAACAGG